rnacentral:rRNA from 1 species
GGUGGUGCAUGGUUGUCGUCAGCUCGUGUCGUGAGAUGUUGGGUUAAGUCCCGCAACGAGCGCAACCCUUAUUGUUAGUUGCCAUCAUUUAGUUGGGCACUCUAGCGAGACUGCCGGUGACAAACCGGAGGAAGGUGGGGAUGACGUCAAAUCAUCAUGCCCCUUAUGACCUGGGCUACACACGUGCUACAAUGGGGAGUACAACGAGUCGCUAGACCGCGAGGUCAUGCAAAUCUCUUAAAGCUUCUCUC